rnacentral:rRNA from 1 species
AACGAACGCUGGCGGCAGGCUUAACACAUGCAAGUCGAACGGCUGUAGCAAUACAGCAGUGGCGCACGGGUGAGUAACACGUGGAUAUCUGCCUUUUGAUUCGGAAUAACCCUGGGACACUAGGGCUAAUACCGGAUGGUUCCUACGGGAUAAAGAUUUAUCGCCAAAAGAUGAGUCCGCGUCCGAUUAGCUAGUUGGUGAGGUAAUGGCUCACCAAGGCAACGAUCGGUAGCUGGUCUGAGAGGACGAUCAGCCACACUGGGACUGAGACACGGCCCAGACUCCUACGGGAGGCAGCAGUGGGGAAUAUUGGACAAUGGGGGCAACCCUGAUCCAGCCAUGCCGCGUGAGUGAUGAAGGCCUUCGGGUUGUAAAGCUCUUUUGGCGGGGACGAUGAUGACGGUACCCGCAGAAUAAGCCCCGGCUAACUUCGUGCCAGCCGCCGCAGUAA